UCCAUCAUAAUUAGUGGAAUCUUGUCAUUUUUUGCUUAUUAUUUUUUUUCAUUUGCUUAAAGCAAUUUUCUAUACCAAUUGCCAAUUAUUUGUUUGAAUUCUCCCCUUGUCAUUGUAUAUAUAGUCCAAAUCCAAUAAAUCUAUAAAUUGGACUUACUACUGUUAUAUGCCAUUACCAUUGUUAUUUACAUGAAUUCUAGUUUUACUCCAGUCAUUGGUUCAUAAACGAGAAAUUAAUUCCACAAAUCUAUGUUGACCAGUAGUUUGGUUUAGAGAAAAGUUUUGCAUUUAAUCAACUAGACUAUGUUUUUACUUGUUCUGGUUCAUCAACUUGGCUAAUGGCAUAUCCACUAAUUAAAUAUCUAUGAGCUGAGUACUCAAGUCUCAGAGCAUCUUAUUAAUUUAAGUAUUACUAGUAAAUAGUUGUUUAAAUCUGAUUUCAAUUUGGCUGGUGCCUUGUUACUUAAUGAAAUUCUUUGAUGAUAUUUCUUAUGAAGAGUCUAAACAUGUGCUCUAACUAUCUUUGAUAGACAAUGCUCUGUUGAGGUUAGGUUUCUUCAUUCAUGUUUUGUCUAGUGCAACUUAAGCAGUUUAUUCAUUUUAGGCUUGUUGUUCAGAAACUUUAACCCAAGGAUCCUGCACUAGCAAUUAAAAUCAUUGAAGAGAAACCAUUCGUUUAAGCAGCUUUUAUUUACACUUUAAUUGUAAACAUGUUUAAUUUAUUAAGUAUGUUUGACAGUGGUUAUUGUAAUCCUAGUGAUGACUAAGUGAUUAUAAUGCAUUUAUAUAGUAAAUACAAGAGGUGCACAAGAAAGCAAGGUAAUCCUAGUGAUGACUAAGCUUCGACUCUGCUGUAUGAACUUACUUGUGUCAAUAUGAUCUUCUGCUUUAGUGGCAGCUAUGAUUAUGGCAGUGAAAACAUUUCACAACUACUGAAUUUAAAUUGGAUUUUUUUUUUGUCGAUAAUAGAUACUUGUGACAGACUUUGAAUUCUUUAGUUUGGACUAUUAGGAACUGGUGUAGUGCUAUGAAUGUAUGGCCUGCCCUUAUUGUUGAGACAAGCAAUGCUUUCAGGGCUUUAUACAGGGCAUUCUAACAUCAUCUAAACAGGCUGAUAUGACCAUGUUAGAAGAUGAACUACCAACAAAAAGAUGACUUUCAUCAGCCCUUGUCAAGGUAUAUUGAGAUGAUUUCUUUGGAGCAAUUCUUGACAACAUUUGUAGUUGAGGCCUUUAGAAUGGAAGAAUGUAUUUCACUAAUUUUCGUAUACAUUUCUUGUUUUGUAUUUAGUGAUAAAGUAAUCUGAAUUGGGCAUAAAUUAUGUUGUAAUAUGAUUUCUUAAGCCUAGACUAGUAGACUAAAUAUUGUAAUUACAUUUGAGUAA